AGUGGCGAACGGGUGAGUAACAUAUCGGAACGUACCUAGUAAUGGGGGAUAACUAGUCGAAAGAUUAGCUAAUACCGCAUACGCCCUGAGGGGGAAAGUAGGGGAUCUUUGGACCUUACGUUAUUAGAGCGGCCGAUAUCUGAUUAGCUAGUUGGUGGGGUAAAGGCCUACCAAGGCUUCGAUCAGUAGCUGGUCUGAGAGGACGACCAGCCACACUGGAACUGAGACACGGUCCAGACUCCUACGGGAGGCAGCAGUGGGGAAUUUUGGACAAUGGGGGCAACCCUGAUCCAGCCAUUCCGCGUGAGUGAAGAAGGCCUUCGGGUUGUAAAGCUCUUUCGCAAGGGAAGAAAACUUAUUCUCUAAUAUAGGAUGAGGUUGACGGUACCUUGAUAAGAAGCACCGGCUAACUACGUGCCAGCAGCCGCGGUAAUACGUAGGGUGCGAGCGUUAAUCGGAAUUACUGGGCGUAAAGCGUGCGCAGGCGGUUUGGUAAGUCAGAUGUGAAAUCCCCGAGCUCAACUUGGGAACUGCGUUUGAAACUGUCAGACUAGAAUAUGUCAGAGGGGGGUAGAGUUCCGCGUGUAGCAGUGAAAUGCGUAGAGAUGUGGAGGAAUACCAAUGGCGAAGGCAGCCCCCUGGGAUAAUAUUGACGCUCAUGCACGAAAGCGUGGGGAGCAAACAGGAUUAGAUACCCUGG
rnacentral:rRNA from 1 species